UAAUACAGAGGGAGCGAGCGUUAUCCGGAAUGAUUGGGCGUAAAGCGUCUGUAGGUGGUUUAGAAAGUCUACUGUCAAAUACCAAGGCUCAACCUUGGGCAGGCAGUAGAGUACUUUUAGACUAGAGUGUGGUAGAGGUAGAGGGAAUCCCUAGCGUAACAGUGAAAUGUGUAGAUUUUAGGGAGAACACCAGCGGCGAAGGCGCUCUACUGGGCCAAGACUGACACUGAGAGACGAAAGCUAGGGGAGCGAAUAGGAUUAGAUACCCUAGUAGUCCUAGCUGUAAACGAUGGAAACUAAGUGCUGCCGAAUGCAGUGCUGUAGCUAACGCGUUAAGUUUCCCGCCUGGGGAGUAUGCUCGCAAGAGUG
rnacentral:rRNA from 1 species